CACGGGGUUGCGAGCGUUGUCCAGAAUUACUAGGCGUAAAGGGCAGGCAGGCGGAUCCAUAAGUUUAUCGUUUAAGGCGUCGGCUUAACCGGCGUAGGGCGGUAGAUACUGUGGAUCUGGAAUGCGGUUGGGGAAGACAGAAUUCCUGGUGUAGCGGUGGAAUGCGCAGAGAUCAGGAGGAAUACCGAAGGCGAAGGCAGUCUUCCAAGCCGUUAUUGACGCUCAACUGCGAAGGUGUGGGUAUCAAACAGGAUUAGAUACCCGCGUAGUCCCU
rnacentral:rRNA from 1 species